AAAAGUAGCUGUGGGAGCAGAUCUCAGAGGAUUAUUAUGCUUGAUGCUGCUGUUAGAGAUAUUUGCUGUCUUACAGGCAAAGGAGAGAUUGUGGAAAAAGAAUGGGAUAGAGGUCUCUAACCCAGGCUGGAGUUCAUUGGCACAAUCUCAGCUCAUUACAGCCUUGACCUCCUGGACUCAAGCCAUCCUCCCACCUCGGCCUCCCAAGUAGCUGAAACCACAGGUAUGUGCAACCACACCCAGCUAAUUUUUGUAUUUUUUGUAGAGAGGAGGUUUUGCCGUGUUGCCCAGGCUGGUCUCGGACACCUGAGCUCAAGCAAUCUGCCCACCUCGGCCUCCCAAAGUGCUGGGAUUAUAGGCAUGAGUCGCCAGGCCCAGCAACAAAAUUUUAUGUAUGCAAUACAUUAAUUUUAACUAUAGGCACAAUGUUACACAGCAGAACUCUAGAAUUCAUUCAUUUUGUAUGACUACAAUUUUAGUACUCUAUAACUUAAAAGAAUAAUUAUGAUAUUGAUGAGAUUGACAAUCCAAUUAUAAUCCCAUUUGUAUUGGUUACUAUCAUCAGAUCUGGAUAUGAUUUUGAAUUUUACAGACUUUAUUUUUAUUCAGAUAUGAUUUUGUAUACACAAAGAUUAAACUAUGAUUUUACCAUGACUCGGGGAUAAAUUCUAAACAGCAGCAUAUAUGUUGAGAAGGCAAUACGAUAACUGUGAAAAAGUAAGUUGUCCUUUAGUGUUUGAAACUUGACAACUACAAAAACUGUGAAGACUGAAGAGAGAUAACUUGUAUAAAAUAUAAAGAAAUCCUAACCUUUUUAAAAAAGAACUAUCUUUAUGAGUGAGAAGAAAUAACUUAUAAAGUAUGUAGCCAUGAGCAAGUCAUCCUAUCUUUUCUUUCAUAAAGAUGUAUGUCGUAAUAGAUCAACUCUCUGCCCCUGCUUUACACAUUCAAUGUAUAUUUUUUCCUCCUCUAUUCUUUGGUACUGAAAUUACUUUAGAGGGUAGUUAAAGAAAAUUGAAAGUGUUUUGGAAUGUGUAAGAAUACAAGUUCAGACUGCAGUGAAACCUUUAAUAACUUGUGAAUUAUGUCAUCUGUGAAAUAACAAUAGAUGACAAACUCAGCUAUGAGCAGAGUAAAAGCAUCCUUUUCUUUUAGAAAAAGAAAAUAAUCUAGUUUCUUUCUGGAGUUGUGAUUAGCUUUAGAUUUUCAAUGUUCGUUUUGCAAAGAUUUAAUAUACCAU
rnacentral:lncRNA from 1 species